CCUACGGGGGGCAGCAGUGAGGAAUAUUGGUCAAUGGACGAGAGUCUGAACCAGCCAAGUAGCGUGAAGGAUGACUGCUCUAUGGGUUGUAAACUUCUUUUAUAAAGGAAUAAAACGAGGCACGUGUGCCUUUUUGCAUGUACUUUAUGAAUAAGGAUCGGCUAACUCCGUGCCAGCAGCCGCGGUAAUACGGAGGAUCCGAGCGUUAUCCGGAUUUAUUGGGUUUAAAGGGAGCGUAGGUGGGUUGUUAAGUCAGUUGUGAAAGUUUGCGGCUCAACCGUAAAAUUGCAAUUGAUACUGGCAGUCUUGAGUGCAGUUGAGGUAGGCGGAAUGCGUGGUGUAGCGGUGAAAUGCUUAGAUAUCACGAAGAACCCCGAUUGCGAAGGCAGCUUACUAAACUGUGACUGACAUUGAUGCUCGAAAGUGUGGGGAUCAAACAGGAUUAGAUACCCGGGUAGUC
rnacentral:rRNA from 1 species